AUGUUGUUGCUAUCCAAGACCCAGGUCAUCCGUAACAAAAUCAUGCUGAUUCUUUGGCAGUCAUGGAACUUGAGAAACAAUGCUAUCCAUAGUGAUGCAAAAGAGACUGUAGCGGGAUCGGUGCAGUAUCUACUGUGCCUGUACUCUGAACCGAUGUCUGAUGCAUAUUCACCGAGCGGAGAGGGGAAUAAAAAUAAGAUUUCGCUGUUCCCAAAUGGCCCAGGACGGCCGAUGAUUCCAACACCUUCUCUUUGGUCUGCACCAAUUUCGGGCACAGCGAAGUUAAAUUUUGAUGCCUCUUUCAUCAGGGAAACGGGAGAUGCUUGGGGGAGUGCAGUCGAUAGGGAUCAUAAGGAGAUUUUCUGUCAGUUGGUCGGUGGCUACCCGGAUGCAGUUCAGUGGAAGAAGCGGGAGGAGCCGCUGCUCUGA
rnacentral:rRNA from 1 species